UAUGAAACGACAUUAAUUGUUUUUUUUUUAUUUCAAAUUAAUAAUAAUUUUUUUUCCAUUUACAGUUUUUUACUUUCAUCCUCAAAGACCAACCAAAAAAACCAAAAAUGGGCGCAGAAAAAGUAUCCAUGAACAUUGUCGUCGUCGGACAAGUGCAAUCUGCCAAGGUCGUCAAGACCGUCGCCAAAGCCACACCAGCGACCAGCCAACUGAUGAACUGUUAAUGCAUUCAGUCCAUCUAUUGCAAAACUCAAAAAUGCCAUAACCCAAACAGUACCAAAAAUAAUAUGUAAAUAUAUGUAAUUAAUUUCAGUAUUGAAACCGCAAAAUAAAUCAGCCUUUUCCGAUAAACGUAA